rnacentral:rRNA from 1 species
CAGCAGCCGCGGUAAUACGUAGGUGGCAAGCGUUGUCCGGAAUUAUUGGGCGUAAAGGGCUCGCAGGCGGUUUCUUAAGUCUGAUGUGAAAGCCCCCGGCUCAACCGGGGAGGGUCAUUGGAAACUGGGAAACUUGAGUGCAGAAGAGGAGAGUGGAAUUCCACGUGUAGCGGUGAAAUGCGUAGAUAUUGGGAAGAACACCGGUGGCGAAGGCGGCAACCUGGCUCAUUACUGACGCUGAGGCGCGAAAGCGUGGGUAGCAAACAGGAUUAGAUACCCGCGUAGUCCCUGUCUCUUAUAA